CCAUCAUCCCUAGCUAACAGGACCAGUGGUCAGGGAUGACGGGAAUUGUAGUUCCAAAACAUCUGGAGGGCCAAGUCUGCCUAUGCCUGAUGUAAAACAUUUAAGAACAGCAUUUGAGGCUUGACGUUUAACAUUAUAUAUUUGAACUUACAGUAUGUGGGUUACUGUAGAAAUCUGCAGAAGGAAGCUUUAUAAGACUAAGUGUCAACAUGUUAUAUAUAAAUUGUUAACAUGAGAACUGCAAUAUCUCAUUAAUAAUAACCUUCAUUUCCCUUGAAUUGACUAACCAAUGCAAUUUCCUUGAAUUCUGUAAGGAUCUAGUCCAGGCAUCCCCAAACUUCAGCCCUCCAGAUGUUUUGGACUACAAUUCCCAUCAUCCCUGACCACUGGUCCUGUUAGCUAGGGAUCAUGGGAGUUGUAGGCCAAAACAUCUGGAGGGCCGCAGUUUGGGGAUGCCUGAUCUAGUCUAACAAAAGGAAAAACUGGAGCUAUAUUAUGGGUGUGCAAAAAAAAAAAAAAGGUUACCGGUAGCAAACAAACAAGAACUGCAAGCUUGCUUUCUCCUGCUCUGGAGGGCAGGACCCGAAUCAAUGGAUUCAAGUUUGAAGAAAGGAAAUACUGACUAACAUCAGGAAGAAAGGACUCCCUCGGAAGGUGGUGGACUCUCCUUCCUUGGAGAUUUUAAAGCAGAGGUUGGAUGUCCAUCUGCUGUGGAUUCUUAAACUGUAAUUCCUGCAUUUUAGUGGGUUGGACUAGGUUACCCUUGGUGUACCUUCCUGGCCCUGCUCAGAGUUCAAGGUCACACCCCAGCCAGGCCAGGCCAAAGCCGCUCAAAGGGGGUGCAGUGCUGGGGUGGUGAGGUGUGUGCUCUGGAAAGAGUUCUGAAAGCCAGGUGGGUGGGUGGGGGCUACAUGUGCCCCCCUGGCCUGAGGUCCCCCCCCCCCGGGUUGGAUCACCCAGACAAAAUUAGUUGGACUUAAGCCCCCAUGAAAUUGUUGUGAAAAGUUAGUCACGGCCAAUUUAUUCUUUCCCAUUGAUUUCUCCAGGACUCUGGUCCAACCUGUGGCCUCUAUGAAGGAAAGAUGUGCAAGUCAUGGGAAAGCAGUUCUUAUGGCACCAGUUUAAAGCUGCGAGGGAAGGAUAAAACGUGGUUGUCUGGCUACUGCAGGAACAGGAGGCUGGGUGGAUGGGGCAGAGGCCGGCCCAGCAGUAUCUUCUGAUGUUCUUUGGGAAAUAGUUCACCAUGGCUUUUUUGCUGCUACAACCAACCAAGCACUCCUCGUGCAAGGAACAGGAUACAGAGAGUAACACAAGAACAAAGCCCCUCACCUCCCUUCCCUUCUCAGACUACAAAGUUCAAGCAAUUACAUCUCACCAUAGCUGUCCAGCAGAGUUUGUCCAUUGUUACUCAUGUACAAAGUAAAACUACACCAAGUUUCA